rnacentral:rRNA from 1 species
UACGUAGGGUGCGAGCGUUGUCCGGAAUUAUUGGGCGUAAAGGGCUCGUAGGCGGUUUGUCGCGUCGGGAGUGAAAACUCAGGGCUUAACCCUGAGCCUGCUUCCGAUACGGGCAGACUAGAGGUAUGCAGGGGAGAACGGAAUUCCUGGUGUAGCGGUGAAAUGCGCAGAUAUCAGGAGGAACACCGGUGGCGAAGGCGGGUCUCUGGGCAGUAACUGACGCUGAGGAGCGAAAGCGUGGGGAGCGAACAGG